UAGAGAACACAAAAUGAGACUAAGACAGAUUAAGAUUUCCUAAAGCUGGAAAGAUGAUCUGAACAAGGUGCAGAAUGAGGAGGAUGAAAUGAAAAAAGAGAGAUCCAGGGUGCACUUGAAACACAACUGUGAGCCAUUCAAAUCCCGUGCUGUUUGAACGUGCAGCACACUGUCUGAGCACCACUGCUGACUCUGCCUGACAUCUCCUUACAUCACCUCCGAGCAGCACAGAGACGGCACAGGAACACACUGCUCUCCUUGUUUCAGCUUCACAAUGUUACGAGACUGCCAUCUCCCUCUGACGUACAACAAUCGUCCCGGGAUAAAUCACCAGAGGAAACGCAGAUUUAAAAGUUACUACACCCACAACAGCCUCAUACCACCGGAACGCCGUGCAUCCGUUUGUGUUGAUCUGUCUCUCUUUCUCUUUCUGCCUACACAUGUGACCUACAGAUGGAUUAAAACACUUCAGGUCUCUUUAAACGCCCAAACGCCCACCUUUGAUGGGAAGCAACAAGUUGCGUUUUCUCUCUGAGGGCUGUCAUGAAGCAUUCUGGGAGACAGAGGGAAGCGGUUAAGUAGAUGAGGCAGGUGGAGGCAAACGGAGAGUAAAUAACCUCUGGAAAUGCAAAGAAGAUCAGAGAAUUAUGAGAUCUGAAACAGCAUCCAAGGGUGGUUUUGUCCGCUUUGAUUUCAGCGUGAUGGAUGAUGAGAAGAUCAGCUUCCUCCUCCGUCUGAAUGACUUAGUUGCAGGCUGCUAACCUGGGGAAUCCACGACUUGGAAACAAUAAAUCAGGCUGCAACUGGAGUCCAUCAUAAGCUUCUUUUUUCAAAACUACAACAGAGACCAGGCUUUCAAAUCCAGUUUGGUGCUUUAGAUAUCACCAGGGAAGCUCAGGGAAGCUCAGGAUGUUGACAUAACUGGAUUGAGAGAGCACGUUUAACCUUUUAAAUUCAGAUU